rnacentral:rRNA from 1 species
UAGGAAGCUAACCUGCAAGAUCUAGCGCAACGGAUAAGGAGCUUGCUCCUUUGAAGUUAGCGGCGGACGGUCUGAGUAACACGUGGGUAACCUACCUAUAAGACUGGAAUAACUUCGGGAAACCGGAGCUAAUGCCGGAUAACAUAUAGAACCGCAUGGUUCUAUAGUGAAAGAUGGUUUUGCUAUCACUUAUAGAUGGACCCGCGCCGUAUUAGCUAGUUGGUAAGGUAAAGGCUUACCAAGGCGACGAUACGUAGCCGACCUGAGAGGGUGAUCGGCCACACUGGAACUGAGACACGGUCCAGACUCCUACGGGAGGCAGCAGUAGGGAAUCUUCCGCAAUGGGCGAAAGCCUGACGGAGCAACGCCGCGUGAGUGAUGAAGGUUUUCGGAUCGUAAAACUCUGUUAUUAGGGAAGAACAAAUGCGUAAGUAACUGUGCGCAUCUUGACGGUACCUAAUCAGAAAGCCACGGCUAACUACGUGCCAGCAGCCGCGGUAAUACGUAGGUGGCAAGCGUUAUCCGGAAUUAUUGGGCGUAAAGCGCGCGUAGGCGGUUUCUUAAGUCUGAUGUGAAAGCCCACGGCUCAACCGUGGAGGGUCAUUGGAAACUGGGAAACUUGAGUGCAGAAGAGGAAAGUGGAAUUCCAUGUGUAGCGGUGAAAUGCGCAGAGAUAUGGAGGAACACCAGUGGCGAAGGCGACUUUCUGGUCUGUAACUGACGCUGAUGUGCGAAAGCGUGGGGAUCAAACAGGAUUAGAUACCCUGGUAGUCCACGCCGUAAACGAUGAGUGCUAAGUGUUAGGGGGUUUCCGCCCCUUAGUGCUGCAGCUAACGCAUUAAGCACUCCGCCUGGGGAGUACGACCGCAAGGUUGAAACUCAA